GACGAACGCUGGCGGCGUGCUUAACACAUGCAAGUCGAACGGUGAAGCGCCUUCCUUUUUGGUGGGUGUGGAUGAGUGGCGAACGGGUGAGUAACACGUGAGUAACCUGCCCCCUUCUUCUGGAUAACCGCAUGAAAGUGUGGCUAAUACGGGAUAUUCUGCGUCUGUCGCAUGAUGGGUCUGGGAAAGAUAUUGUUUCGGUGGGGGAUGGGCUCGCGGCCUAUCAGCUUGUUGGUGGGGUGAUGGCCUACCAAGGCGGUGACGGGUAGCCGGCCUGAGAGGGUGGACGGUCCCACUGGGACUGAGGCACGGCCCAGACUCCUACGGGAGGCAGCAGUGGGGAAUAUUGCACAAUGGGCGCAAGCCUGAUGCAGCGACGCCGCGUGAGGGAUGGAGGCCUUCGGGUUGUGAACCUCUUUCGCCAGUGAAGCAGGCCUGCCUCGUUUGUGGGUGGGUUGACGGUAGCUGGAUAAGAAGCGCCGGCUAACUACGUG
rnacentral:rRNA from 1 species